GGCAGGGCUGAGUUGGGGCGUGGAGCUCCUUAGCAACGAGGAGACGGCGGCCCUCCCGCGGCGGUUGGGCACGCGAGGGUUGCCUAGCAACGGCGUCCUCAGGCUGGGGAUGGGUCUCAGACCUGUUUUCUGCUCCCUCCACCCCCACCCCAAAGGCGCUGCUUUUCUUCUGGUUUUCAGACCGCCCGCUUUCCUCGUCAACUGUGGAAGUAGAACAUUUAAAUCCUAAAAUACUUUGAUUUAGUUCUAAAUAGAACAAAACCCAAAACACCUAUAGGGGUUUGUAUUGGAGGUUAUUUCUUGUAACCUCCGGAUCACACGGAACAAAGAGAGCAGAGAGUGUGCAUGUACCUCUCCGAUGGCCAGAGGAGGCCACAACAUAGAAAACCAGAAGAAUCUGCUAUAAAGAGAAUGGUCAAUGACUGAGCAGCUCUCCCAGGACACACUAGUAGGACAACAAGAAUGAGUAGAACAGGUGCUGGAAGAGAGAAGACAGCAGUGGGGAAGACACGAGCCUAGGAUGGCCACAGGACCAGACCCCAGCUCUCCUGAUCUAGGAAUCAGGAACAGCCAAGUC